UACGUAGGGACCGAGCGUUGUCCGGAAUCAUUGGGCGUAAAGAGCGUGUAGGCGGCCACUUAAGUCCUGCGUGAAAUCUUGCGGCUCAACCGCAAGCGGUCGUGGGAAACUGGGUGGCUAGAGUGCGGGAGAGGAGAGUGGAAUUCCUGGUGUAGCGGUGGAAUGCGCAGAUAUCAGGAGGAACACCAGCGGCGAAGGCGGCAUCCUGGACUGGUCCUGACACUCAGGAGCGAAAGCGUGGGGAGCGAUCCGG
rnacentral:rRNA from 1 species